UAAUACGUAGGGUGCAAGCGUUGUCCGGAUUUAUUGGGCGUAAAGAGCUCGUAGGCGGUUAGUCACGUCGGAUGUGAAAACCCGGGGCUUAACUCCGGGCCUGCAUUCGAUACGGGCUGACUAGAGUGUUGUAGGGGAGACUGGAACUCCUGGUGUAGCGGUGAAAUGCGCAGAUAUCAGGAAGAACACCGGUGGCGAAGGCGGGUCUCUGGGCAACUACUGACGCUGAGGAGCGAAAGCGUGGGGAGCAAACAGG
rnacentral:rRNA from 1 species